UCGAUGGUGGCGGGCGUUGGAAUUCUGGUGGCCGAGGUGGCAUGAGGGAUGUUGGCUUUGGUGGUCGUGGUGGGAUGAGAGAUGGUGGUUUUGGAGGACGUAGUGGGGGGAGAGAUGGUGGCUCUGGUGGACGUGGAGGGAUGAGAGAUAGUGGCUUCGGUGGACGGGGAGGGAUGAGAGAUGUUGGCUUUGGUGGACGUGGUGGGAUGAGAGAUGGUGGCUUCGGUGGUCGUGGUGGUGGGAGGAGGGAUGGUGCUCGGAUUGGUUGGGACAGGAAUGAGCGUGGCGGCACACGUGAUCAAUAUCACACGGGCAGGGGGCGGGGACGAUUUGAUAACAGAAGAGAUAUU
rnacentral:lncRNA from 1 species